CUACGGGUGGCUGCAGUGAGGAAUAUUGCACAAUGGGGGGAACCCUGAUGCAGCAACGCCGCGUGGAGGAUGACGCAUUUCGGUGUGUAAACUCCUUUUAUAUGUCAAGAAAAUGACGGUAGCAUAUGAAUAAGCACCGGCUAACUCCGUGCCAGCAGCCGCGGUAAUACGGAGGGUGCAAGCGUUACUCGGAAUCACUGGGCGUAAAGGACGCGUAGGCGGGUGGGAAAGUCAGGUGUGAAAUCCUACAGCUUAACUGUAGAACUGCACUUGAAACUUCUAAUCUAGAGUAUGGGAGGGGGAGAUGGAAUUAGUGGUGUAGGGGUAAAAUCCGUAGAUAUCUCUAGGAAUACCUAAAGCGAAGGCGAUCUCCUGGAACAUUACUGACGCUAAGGCGUGAAAGCGUGGGGAGCAAACAGGAUUAGAUACCCUAGUAGUC
rnacentral:rRNA from 1 species